UGGGGAAUAUUGGACAAUGGGGGCAACCCUGAUCCAGCAAUGCCGCGUGAGUGAUGAAGGCCUUAGGGUUGUAAAGCUCUUUUACCAGGGAUGAUAAUGACAGUACCUGGAGAAUAAGCUCCGGCUAACUCCGUGCCAGCAGCCGCGGUAAUACGGAGGGAGCUAGCGUUGUUCGGAAUUACUGGGCGUAAAGCGCGCGUAGGCGGGCUGGUCAGUCAGGGGUGAAAUCCCGGGGCUCAACCCCGGAACUGCCCUUGAUACUGCCAGCCUUGAGUUCUGGAGAGGUGAGUGGAAUUCCGAGUGUAGAGGUGAAAUUCGUAGAUAUUCGGAGGAACACCAGUGGCGAAGGCGGCUCACUGGCCAGACACUGACGCUGAGGCGCGAAAGCGUGGGGAGCAAACAGGAUUAGAUACCCGCGUAGUCC
rnacentral:rRNA from 1 species